rnacentral:rRNA from 1 species
GAUGAACGCUGGCGGCGUGCCUAACACAUGCAAGUCGAACGAAGCUUGACGAAUGGUUUUUUCGGAAUGAAUUCUGAUAUGACUUAGUGGCGGACGGGUGAGUAACACGUGAGCAACCUGCCUUUCAGAGGGGGAUAACACAUGGAAACGUGUGCUAAUACCGCAUAUGGAGCAUUUAUCGCAUGGUAGAAGCUUAAAAGAUUUAUCGCUUAUGGAUGGACUCGCGUAAGAUUAGCUAGUUGGUGAGGUAACGGCUCACCAAGGCGACGAUCUUAGCCGAACUGAGAGGUUGAUCGGCCACAUUGGGACUGAGACACGGCCCAG